rnacentral:tRNA from 1 species
ACUGAAAUACCUCAGUUGGGAGAGCGUUAGACUAUACAGCGAAAAGUCCCUGGUUCGAUCCCGGCUUCCCGAA